CCAGCCCCCGCGGUAAUUCCAGCUCCAGUAGCAUAUAUUAAAGUUGUUGCAGUUAAAAAGCUCGUAGUUGGAUUUCUGGUACGAUGCGCCUAGUCCGCGACGUUUAACGUCUGUGAGUACUGGAGCGCGUCUGCCAUCCUUCUGGGGAACGGGUCUACCCUUCACUGGGCCGGGCUCGUGAACCAGAUCGUUUACUUUGAAAAAAUUAGAGUGUUCAAAGCAGGCCUUUUGCUGUGAAUACAUUAGCAUGGAAUAAUGAUCUAGGACUUCGGUUCUAUUUUGUUGGUUUCUAGCACUGAAGUAAUGAUUGAUAGGGAUAGUUGGGGGUGCUAGUAUUGGGCGGCCAGAGGUGAAAUUCUUGGAUUCGCUCAAGACUAACUUAUGCGAAAGCAUUCACCAAGGAUGUCUUCUUUAAUCAAGAACGAAAGU
rnacentral:rRNA from 1 species